CCUACGGGAGGCAGCAGUGAGGAAUAUUGGACAAUGGGCGCAAGCCUGAUCCAGCCAUGCCGCGUGCAGGAUGACGGUCCUAUGGAUUGUAAACUGCUUUUGUACAGGAAGAAACCCUUUCACGUGUGAAAGAUUGACGGUACUGUAAGAAUAAGGAUCGGCUAACUCCGUGCCAGCAGCCGCGGUAAUACGGAGGAUCCAAGCGUUAUCCGGAAUCAUUGGGUUUAAAGGGUCCGUAGGCGGUCAGAUAAGUCAGUGGUGAAAGCCCAUCGCUCAACGGUGGAACGGCCAUUGAUACUGUCUGACUUGAAUUAUUAGGAAGUAACUAGAAUAUGUAGUGUAGCGGUGAAAUGCUUAGAGAUUACAUGGAAUACCAAUUGCGAAGGCAGGUUACUACUAAUGGAUUGACGCUGAUGGACGAAAGCGUGGGUAGCGAACAGGAUUAGAUACCCUGGUAGUCCACGCCGUAAACGAUGGAUACUAGCUGUUGGGAGCAAUCUCAGUGGCUAAGCGAAAGUGAUAAGUAUCCCACCUGGGGAGUACGUUCGCAAGAAGAGAAGUACAAGAAGUAGUAGACGNGAGAGACGACGACGACGGACGACGACGGAGGGAGGAGG
rnacentral:rRNA from 1 species